UACGAAGGGGGCUAGCGUUGUUCGGAUUUACUGGGCGUAAAGCGCACGUAGGCGGAUCGUUAAGUCAGGGGUGAAAUCCUGGGGCUCAACCCCAGAACUGCCUUUGAUACUGGCGAUCUCGAGUCCGGAAGAGGUGAGUGGAACUCCUAGUGUAGAGGUGGAAUUCGUAGAUAUUAGGAAGAACACCAGUGGCGAAGGCGGCUCACUGGUCCGGUAUUGACGCUGAGGUGCGAAAAGCGUGGGGAGCAAACAGG
rnacentral:rRNA from 1 species